rnacentral:SRP_RNA from 1 species
GGCUCGCGCCUGUGCGACCCGGUCCCGUGAACCCCGUCAGGCCCGGAAGGGAGCAGCGGUAAGCGGAUCGCCGGGUGUGCCGCAGGGCCGUCGGGCCCCU